AGAAUAAGUAUAUACAUAUAUUUAAAUAGACAUUCAUUUAAGAUAACGUAACGCAUGGAUGGAAUAUACAACUGUGGAAACUCAGCCACAGGCCCAGCAACUAUGGGAUUCUGAGGAUUGGAGGACCACGACCCACUGGAGGGAGUCACAGUUCCCGCGAGACCGUAGUUAUACAACUUAGUGGUGAUGCUUUUAAAUAGGUACGAAGUGUGCAUGCCCGCGCGUCUUGUCGAUUGUCUCAAUGGUAUCCAGACCUAGCCUAGCUUAGCCUACGGGAUUAAGGGGAUUGCUCCACGGCGGGCUCUAGUCCACCUCCAGUUUCCUAAAACUGCCCACGACACCGGCAUCGAUGUCGCCGAUAUCAUUACCAGCAAAAUUGGCCGCAUCCUUGGUCACCUCGAUCUGCAUGUCGUCGAGUGCAAGGAUUGCCGCCCGGCGUUGCUGCAACUUCUGUUUGAACUGGGCGAUCAUAUCGGCAAUGGGCACGGUGCCACCAUAUUCCUUGGGCAGGAUGGCGGGAUCGAUCUUUGUCUUCAAAAUGUCAACAUUCUUGUGCACCUGAAGGGGAAAAAAUCAAUACAAUCAGCACAUGUAUUACAAUGACAAUCGAAAUGAGCUCACAAUGAUUCGCUUCUUAAGCUUAUCGCUCAGCAUGGACACGCCCAGCUCGAUGAUGCGAUUGGCGUAGUGGGGUAUGUUGACGAAGUGCGUCUCCUUGUGCCGCAUCGGCGUCGAGUUCUGGAUGCACUUGACAAUGCUGCGCAGGUCGGUCAGAGACCAGAGGCUAACGAAGCCCAUGUUCAUGCCACUCUCGUCGUUGAUGUACACAUAUCCAGCCACCUGAGAAUCCUCAUCAUCCAGCAGUGCCUCGCAGACCAGACUGUGCACCCGCGCCAUUUGCACCGAAGUGAACUGGAAUGAACAUUGGAUAGCUAUUAAACGUUUCUAUAGAUGUAAAUUCCAAAAGAGAUCCUGACCUUGUACGGAUCGAACUUGGCGGCCACGGAGAAGAUGACCUGACGUCCGGUGGAAUCGCGCUGCGGCAGCGGCACCAGAUAACCAUUCUCGAAGAUCUCAUUGAUGGCCGGAUCGUUGAUGUCCAGCUGCUUGAACCACUGCGGGAACAGCUGCCGGAUGGUCAGAUAGCGCUCGAGCAUUUCGCAGGCGGAUGGUACGGAGAACUUUUUGGUGCGCAAAAAACGCAGCAGGAAGACGGUAUCGGUGCGGCACUUGCGGAUAUGCGGAUGCUUCUCGAUCCACUCGCGGAACUGGGCCAGCGCCUGCCGACGUAUGUUCUCGUCCUCGUGCAGCUCCUCCUUGGCCACCAGCUUCAUUGCCGGACUCAGUCCGCAGACAUACGGAUAGUCAUAGUCGCCGCCGCUACUGGCAGCCGGUCCACUCAGCUUCGGUUGUUGCAGCACCUCGGUCUCAAGCACUGAAAUCGGGCCAAAACAUAUACAUAUAUGUUUUAGUUGCAAAAUUCUAUUGCACAGGUUGCAAGUGUAUGUCUACAUUCAAUACCAUAUUACACAAUUUAUGUGCUCAAAAUCAAGAAAUCAAGUGAGCAGAACGCAUAAAGUCACGGAUUUCAGUGGUUUAAGUAAGCCAUGUCCAAUUAACACUUUCACUUUUCAGUUUAGGCCACAGCUGCCAAAUAUUUACUCGAUUUCCCUAAAAGUUUACGAUCUACCUGCUGAAUUUCCCUUUGAUUACACUGCUCCAAAUGAAAUCGGGUAUUAAAAUUCGAGAUGCAUGGAUACGUGCUU
ensembl:ncRNA asRNA:CR45682 antisense RNA:CR45682